CUGGAGCCUUUGGAGCAAAGAGAGAGGCUCCCUAGGCUACAGCCAAAAGAACCAGGUCAAGGCUAGGGCCUAUUAGUGGCUACAACUGGAAACAGGAGUUCAGGAGGAACCCUACUGAUUUAAUUCCUCAGGGGCAAUUAAGCCUCAGAAGGGUGAGAAAAGUGGUUGAACUUGGAUCUUGCCUAUAAUAACUGCACCAGACAACGAUCUGUGCACCCACCGAUGGGGCUGAGGAUUUGCCUCUGAAUUCUCUCAGAAAGAGUGGGGACCAUGUUUCAAAAACACAUUAUACAGGGUCACAAUUUUGCAUGUGACAAAUUUGUUAUUUCAAGCCUCUGAUGCCCUAAAGCAGAGGUUCCCAAAUGAAGACUCGUGUAAUCCCAUUGAACUCACAUGCAAAAACAACCUAUUGGAUUUGGACUAAAAUUUUGUUGGGAACAUUUCUCAGGUCCAGGAUGGAUUUUUUUAGUCAUGGGGGAGAGAGAGCAAGAGCGCCUGAGACCUCCCACAUCCCAG